rnacentral:rRNA from 1 species
CCUACGGGAGGCAGCAGUGAGGAAUAUUGGUCAAUGGACGAGAGUCUGAACCAGCCAAGUAGCGUGAAGGAUGACUGCCCUAUGGGUUGUAAACUUCUUUUAUCUGGGAAUAAAAUGUUCCACGUGUGGGAUUUUGUAUGUACCAUAUGAAUAAGGAUCGGCUAACUCCGUGCCAGCAGCCGCGGUAAUACGGAGGAUCCGAGCGUUAUCCGGAUUUAUUGGGUUUAAAGGGAGCGUAGGCGGAUUGUUAAGUCAGUUGUGAAAGUUUGCGGCUCAACCGUAACAUUGCAGGUGAAACUGGCAGUCUUGAGUACAGUAGAGGUGGGCGGAAUGCGUGGUGUAGCGGUGAAAUGCUUAGAUAUCACGAAGAACUCCGAUUGCGAAGGCAGUUCACUGGACUGCAACUGACACUGAGGCUCGAAAGUGUGGGUAUCAAACAGGAUUAGAUACCCUGGUAGUC